AAAGCAGCAGAAAUGUACGCAGUCAUCUGCCGACAGGAUAGUGGGCCAGUGGGGCCGAGCCCAACCGAGCACGGCCGAUCCUGACCGGGGCGGGCCGAGCCGGACUCACUGCGCCUCAUCGGACGGGACCUCUGUGUUCGCUGUUGCACCUGCCAGCUAUGACACGCACUUUAAAAGAGGAGGAAAAUGUCGCCUGUAAGUGCGCGUAUUUCGCCCAGUCCCGGAGCAAAGGAGGAGCGCCUUUCAGCGUCUUUUGUGAUGGAAAUCUGCCAGUGUAUUGACGGCUUUGCUGGAAGCUAAUAUAUGCUGCAGACACCUAUGGGCUUCAAAUCAACAAACAGGACUGGAAUGACGCAGCACUGGCUAAAAGGCACAGAGGUGGCAGACAGACGGAUGGAUGGCUGGAAUGGCAAGGAGGAUGACAUCAUCGUUACUCGUGGGAGCCUGGGCCUGUCAUUCCUGCCCAUGGUGUCACUUCCUGGGAGAGAAUAGAACAGGAAGCCAGAGCAAGACCCGACAAUGAGUGUUCCCCUCACCUCCACAAGGAAGCCUUUUUCCCCCCCUGAGAGCAAAGUGUGUGUGUGUGUGUGUGUGUGUGUGUGUGUGUGUG